UGCCAGCCGCCGCGGUAAUACUGAAGGUGCAAGCGUUAAUCGGAAUCACUGGGCGUAAAGCGCUCGUAGGUGGCUUUGUAAGUCAGAUGUGAAAGCCCACGGCUCAACCGAGGAAUUGCGUUUGAAACUGGUAUGCUAGGGUCUCGGAGAGGUUGGCGGAAUUCCAGGUGUAGGAGUGAAAUCCGUAGAGAUCAGAAGGAACACCGGUGGCGAAGGCGACUUCCUGGACUAUUACUGACACUGAGGAGCGAAAGCGUGGGGAGCAAACAGGAUUAGAUA
rnacentral:rRNA from 1 species